GUCCGCACAGUAAACGAUGGAUGCCCGCUGUGAGCCUGUUUAAUGGUUUGCGGCCAAGCGAAAGCGUUAAGCAUCCCACCUGGGGAGUACGCCGGCAACGGUGAAACUCAAAGGAAUUGACGGGGCCCCCGCACAAGCAGCGGAGCAUGCGGCUUAAUUCGACGCAACGCGAAGAACCUUACCAAGGCUUGACAUAUACAGGAAUAUGGCAGAGAUGUCAUAGCCGCAAGGUCUGUAUACAGGUGGUGCAUGGUUGUCGU
rnacentral:rRNA from 1 species